AGAACGAACGCUGGCGGCAUGCCUAAUACAUGCAAGUCGAACGAACACUUCGGUGUUAGUGGCGCACGGGUGCGUAACGCGUGGGAAUCUGCCCUUGGGUUCGGAAUAACAGUUGGAAACGACUGCUAAUACCGGAUGAUAUCGAAAGAUCAAAGAUUUAUCGCCCAGGGAUGAGCCCGCGUAGGAUUAGCUAGUUGGUGAGGUAAAGGCUCACCAAGGCGACGAUCCUUAGCUGGUCUGAGAGGAUGAUCAGCCACACUGGGACUGAGACACGGCCCAGACUCCUACGGGAGGCAGCAGUAGGGAGUAUUGGACAAUGGGCGCAAGCCUGAUCCAGCAAUGCCGCGUGAGUGAUGAAGCCUUAGGGUGUAAAGCUCUUUACCCGAGAUGAUAAUGACAGUAGUCGGAGAAUAAGCCCCGGACUAACUCCGUGCCAGCAGCCGC
rnacentral:rRNA from 1 species